GUGCGCAUCUCAUUGUCUUUUUUCCUUUUAUCAAGAGAAAAGAUAUUUCUGAUGUGCUAAACAAACCUUCGGAGGUGAAUUAAAAGCAUGACUAACUUAGUCACUGCUGUCAGUCACCGUCAGACAAGA
rnacentral:snoRNA from 1 species